ACAUGUCUCGUAUGGUUUCCAGAGAUGGAUUCCUUCAGUUCGGCUAGCGAGAACACAGGUGUUGCAUGGCUGUCGUCAGCUCGUGUCGUGAGAUGUUGGGUUAAGUCCCGCAACGAGCGCAACCCUCGCCUUUAGUUGCCAUCAUUUAGUUGGGCACUCUAGAGGGACUGCCGGUGAUAAGCCGGAGGAAGGUGGGGAUGACGUCAAGUCCUCAUGGCCCUUACGGGUUGGGCUACACACGUGCUACAAUGGCGGCGACAAUGGGCAGCGAAGGGGCGACCCGGUGCAAAUCCCAAAAAGCCGUCUCAGUUCGGAUUGUACUCUGCAACUCGAGUGCAUGAAGGUGGAAUCGCUGGUAAUCGCGUAACAGCAUGACGCGGUGAAUACGUUCCCGGGCCUUGUACACACCGCCCGUCACACCAUGGGAGUUGGUUUUACCCGAAGCUGGUGCGCUAACCGCAAGGAGGCAGCCAACCACGGUAAGGUCAGCGACUGGGGUGAAGUCGUAACAAGGUAGCCCUAGGGGAACCUGGGGCUGGAUCACCUCCUUAAGCUUGGAUCCCGGG
rnacentral:rRNA from 1 species